CCCCNNNNAUAACAGAGUUGUCGCGGGCAAGAGCCCAUAUCGACCCCGCGGCUUGCUACCUCGAUGUCGGUUUUUCCCAUCCUGGGUCUGCAGCAGGACCCAAGGGUGGGGCUGUUCGCCCAUUAAAGGGNAUCAUGAGCUGGGUUUAGACCGUCGUGAGACAGGUUGGUUGCUAUCUGCUGGAUGUGUUGGCUGUCUGAGGGAAAGGUNGCUCUAGUACGAGAGGAACGGGCNNUCGGCGCCUNUAGUCGAUCGGUUGUCU
rnacentral:rRNA from 1 species